GCUUGCUCCCUGAUGUUAGCGGCGGACGGGUGAGUAACACGUGGGUAACCUGCCUGUAAGACUGGGAUAACUCCGGGAAACCGGGGCUAAUACCGGAUGGUUGUUUGAACCGCAUGGUUCAAACAUAAAAGGUGGCUUCGGCUACCACUUACAGAUGGACCCGCGGCGCAUUAGCUAGUUGGUGAGGUAACGGCUCACCAAGGCAACGAUGCGUAGCCGACCUGAGAGGGUGAUCGGCCACACUGGGACUGAGACACGGCCCAGACUCCUACGGGAGGCAGCAGUAGGGAAUCUUCCGCAAUGGACGAAAGUCUGACGGAGCAACGCCGCGUGAGUGAUGAAGGUUUUCGGAUCGUAAAGCUCUGUUGUUAGGGAAGAACAAGUACCGUUCGAAUAGGGCGGUACCUUGACGGUACCUAACCAGAAAGCCACGGCUAACUACGUGCCAGCAGCCGCGGUAAUACGUAGGUGGCAAGCGUUGUCCGGAAUUAUUGGGCGUAAAGGGCUCGCAGGCGGUUUCUUAAGUCUGAUGUGAAAGCCCCCGGCUCAACCGGGGAGGGUGAUUGGAAACUGGGGAACUUGAGUGCAGAAGAGGAGAGUGGAAUUCCACGUGUAGCGGUGAAAUGCGUAGAGAUGUGGAGGAACACCAGUGGCGAAGGCCACUCUCUGGUCUGUAACUGACGCUGAGGAGCGAAAGCGUGGGGAGCGAACAGGAUUAGAUACCCUGGUAGUCCACGCCGUAAACGAUGAGUGCUAAGUGUUAGGGGGUUUCCGCCCCUUAGUGCUGCAGCUAACGCAUUAAGCACUCCGCCUGGGGAGUACGGUCGCAAGACUGAAACUCAAAGGAAUUGACGGGGGCCCGCACAAGCGGUGGAGCAUGUGGUUUAAUUCGAAGCAACGCGAAGAACCUUACCAGGUCUUGACAUCCUCUGACAAUCCUAGAGAUAGGACGUCCCCUUCGGGGGCAGAGUGACAGGUGGUGCAUGGUUGUCGUCAGCUCGUGUCGUGAGAUGUUGGGUUAAGUCCCGCAACGAGCGCAACCCUUGAUCUUAGUUGCCAGCAUUCAGUUGGGCACUCUAAGGUGACUGCCGGUGACAAACCGGAGGAAGGUGGGGAUGACGUCAAAUCAUCAUGCCCCUUAUGACCUGGGCUACACACGUGCUACAAUGGACAGAACAAAGGGCAGCGAAACCGCGAGGUUAAGCCAAUCCCACAAAUCUGUUCUCAGUUCGGAUCGCAGUCUGCAACUCGACUGCGUGAAGCUGGAAUCGCUAGUAAUCGCGGAUCAGCAUGCCGCGGUGAAUUUCGUUCCCGGGCCUUGUACACACCGCCCGUCACACCACGAGAGUUUGUAACACCCGAAGUCGGUGAGGUAACCUUUUAGGAGCCAGCCGCCGAAGGUGGGACAGAUGAUUGGGGU
rnacentral:rRNA from 1 species